UCCCUGUCCCCCUUACCCUAUGGGAGUUCCAAGGUUGCUCCUAUGGAAGGAGGGAGCUAAGGAGGAAGCCUGGCUUGAGCCAAAUAAUGAUCAUUUCAACAUGGAUUGUGUACAUAAUAACCCGGCAAAAAAUGGGAUUCUGCUUCCCACCAAAAACCAGUUCGGACAUUGAAGUUGUGGAAACUGAGGCAGUGUCAGUGGUGCAACACUGGCUGAAAAAGACUGAAGAAGAGGCUUCCCAAGGUAUCAAACAAAAGAUGUCUAACUGUCCUUCAACUCAUGGCCAUCAAGUACAUGUGACAAGAAAUGUGGUGAAACAUAUUUCAAAAUCCAGCUUGGCAGCAAACCAGAACCAAGACGUCCUUGAGGAGAGAACAAGGAUUCAGUUCAUAAGAUGGAGUCACACCCGAAUCUUCCAAGUCCCAAGCGACGUGAGAGAUGAGGCCAUGCGAGAGAGGAUAGAGCAGGUGAGAAGAAGCGUUUCUCAGGUUAUGGUUGAGUCUUCUCCCAGUGUUCAAGCUGUGUUUUCAGACUGCUAAGAUCAGCAGGCCCUUGUAAGGGGGAGAACAUAGCUCCCGGAUUUACCUUGUUAUCCAUCUCUCUGGUUCCAGGAAGAACUCUAAAGCAAGAUUUACGUAAGUGUCUUUGAUUCUAUAGUUGUAAUACAGUAGAAAGACUUUUCUAAUACCUCCUGCUUAAAAGCCCAAAGGUCAGAAGGAACAUGAGGCCCCGCUUUUAAGGAAAAACCUUACUGAAAAUCAAGAUCACAGGAGCUUUUGCUCCCUGGACUAGGAGUCAGGAGACCUGGGUCCUAGUCUCAGUCUCAGCUCUGCUACUAACCAGGUUGGUGUCCUUUCAGGUUCACAGAACAACCUGCACUUGAGGUCCUCCCAUCUUGCCCCUAACCUUGAUGCUAGACAUAUGCAGCGUGUCCUGGGGAAAGAGAAUCCAUCUGAUAAUCCAUAAUUGUAGCAGUGGUGACAAUUGCAUCUUCCCGCUAAUCUACUAAAUAAAGAGACAUGCUAUUUAAGAACA